GUCUUCCUUCUUUAACGUGACCUUCAACACUGGCACACCCUGGGCCUGCCUACCUUUUCAGCAUCAUCCCUCUACCUGCCCCAUUGACAUGGCUGAACUACCAGACUGUUGCCCGGCACACUACAUACCCACUCUGAUGCCCCAGGGCCUUUGCACUUGCCAGCUCCUCUGCCCAUAAGGCUUUUCCCUUUCCUUCUUGCCUGGCAGAUCUUUCAGGAACCAGUUCAGAUACCUUCUCUUCUGUGAAACCUUCCCUUGGCCCCAGAGCAGAACUCACCCCAGACCCCCCGGUAGUACAGUCACUUACUUUGCACACGUGUCCGUCAAAACCAUUUGUUUUCCUGGCUGUCUCCCUUCCAGGCUGUGAGGGAAGGGACCCUGCCUUAAUUUACCUCCUGCUCCCAAAGUUCCAGUCAGAGUCUGGAAUAUGGCAGGCAUGUCAUGGAGGCAUGGAACGCAUGCAUGGGAAGGAUGAGGGGCACAUCCAGGCGGGGGAGGGUGCCUCCUUUGAAUCUGGGCCCCCAGUCCUAGGAUCUGCCCCUCCUCCUCCCCUCCCGUCUUCCAGAAAGCCUUCUAUAUUCCCUCACAUGCCAGAGGCCCCAUUCAAGGCCCUCCCCUCCACUCUCAGACUCUCACACCUUGGAUCCCAAGUAAGCGCUCGAUCCCUGUGAAGAGGUUUGGACCCCAAAGCCUAGAGGGGGGUCACAGGAACCCAGCGUUCCCCUUAGAAAUCCAUCAGAAGGUGACAGAUGCGUCCCCUCGGCAAGCCCCAGCCCGCCCUACUGCUGUGUUCCCUCCCUCAGAGAACUCCCUCCAGCCCGGGACCGGGAACCCUGAGCACCGCUCCCACGACCGGGUGAGGGCGGUACCCGGCCCCAGAAAAGGGUUUCGCCUCCAGCAGCCACCAAGAACGGGCACCAGCCAUGCCUAGAGCGGGCGGGCAAGGCAAGGAGGUGCGCAGAGGCUGACAGGAACUCGUUUAAACCAGACUCAGCCAGUUUUGCUCUGUCUGAGUGGUGGAGGAAGUGAGUGGUUCACACCUGGUAUGAGUUGUAUCCCUGUAUUCUGACCACUGCUUCCUCAACGUUUUGCUGCGGUUGAAGUUUUUGAGGAAAUGCACGUCACAUGUAAUUAACCAUUUGAGCGUACAAGUCACUGCUAUUCAGUGCACUCACCACGUGGUGCGACCACCAGCUCGCUCUACUUUGAAGACUUUUCAGGGGCGCCUGGGUGGCUCAGUCGGUUAAGCGUCCGACUUCGGCUCAGGUCACCAUCUCACGGUCCGUGAGUUCGGGCCCCGCGUCGGGCUCCGUGCUGACAGCUCGGAGCCUGGAGCCUGCUUCGGAUUCCGUGUCCCCCUCUCUCUCUGCCCCUCCCCUGCUCGCACCCUGUCUCUCUCGCUCUUGCUCUUUCUCUUUC